rnacentral:tRNA from 1 species
GGAAUUUUAAGGAAAUGCGCGACUGUCGGACUCUUAAUCCGUAGGUCGAGUGUUCGAGUCACUCACGCCCCACCA